CCUGGGGAGUACGGCCGCAAGGUUAAAACUCAAAUGAAUUGACGGGGGCCCGCACAAGCGGUGGAGCAUGUGGUUUAAUUCGAUGCAACGCGAAGAACCUUACCUACUCUUGACAUCCAGAGAACUUGGCAGAGAUGCCUAGGUGCCUUCGGGAACUCUGAGACAGGUGCUGCAUGGCUGUCGUCAGCUCGUGUUGUGAAAUGUUGGGUUAAGUCCCGCAACGAGCGCAACCCUUAUCCUUACUUGCCAGCGGGUGAUGCCGGGAACUGUAGGGAGACUGCCGGUGAUAAACCGGAGGAAGGUGGGGACGACGUCAAGUCAUCAUGGCCCUUACGAGUAGGGCUACACACGUGCUACAAUGGACAGUACAGAGGGAAGCAAAG
rnacentral:rRNA from 1 species